GUGGGGAAUAUUGGACAAUGGGCGCAAGCCUGAUCCAGCCAUGCCGCGUGAGUGAUGAAGGCCCUAGGGUUGUAAAGCUCUUUCACCGGAGAAGAUAAUGACGGUAUCCGGAGAAGAAGCUCCGGCUAACUUCGUGCCAGCAGCCGCGGUAAUACGAAGGGAGCGAGCGUUGUUCGGAAUCACUGGGCGUAAAGAGUGCGUAGGCGGUUAUACAAGUCAGGAGUGAAAUCCCAGGGCUCAACCCUGGAAUUGCUUUUGAAACUGUAUAGCUAGAGUCCCGGAGGGGUUAAUGGAAUUCCGAGUGUAGAGGUGAAAUUCGCAGAUAUUCGGAGGAACACCAGUGGCGAAGGCGAUUAACUGGACGGGCACUGACGCUGAGGCACGAAAGCGUGGGGAUCAAACAGGAUUAGAUACCCCUGUAGUCC
rnacentral:rRNA from 1 species